CCUACGGGAGGCUGCAGUGGGGAAUAUUGGACAAUGGGGGGAACCCUGAUCCAGCCAUGCCGCGUGUGUGAAGAAGGCCCUCGGGUUGUAAAGCACUUUCAGUGAGGAAGAACGCCUGGUGGUUAAUACCCAUCAGGAAAGACAUCACUCACAGAAGAAGCACCGGCUAACUCCGUGCCAGCAGCCGCGGUAAUACGGAGGGUGCGAGCGUUAAUCGGAAUUACUGGGCGUAAAGCGCGCGUAGGUGGCUUGAUAAGCCGGUUGUGAAAGCCCCGGGCUCAACCUGGGAACGGCAUCCGGAACUGUCAAGCUAGAGUGCAGGAGAGGAAAGUAGAAUUCCCGGUGUAGCGGUGAAAUGCGUAGAGAUCGGGAGGAAUACCAGUGGCGAAGGCGGCCUUCUGGACUGACACUGACACUGAGGUGCGAAAGCGUGGGUAGCAAACAGGAUUAGAUACCCCAGUAGUC
rnacentral:rRNA from 1 species